UACAUGGGGUGCAAACGUUGCUCGGAAUUAUUGGGCGUAAAGCGCACGUAGGCGGUUCGUUAAGUCGGAUGUGAAAGCCCUCGGCUCAACUGAGGAAGUGCACCCGAAACUGGCGAGCUUGAGUACGAAAGAGGAUCGCGGAAUUCCCGGUGUAGAGGUGAAAUUCGUAGAUAUCGGGGAGGAACACCGGUGGCGAAGGCGGCGAUCUGGGUCGAUACUGACGCUGAGGUGCGAAAGCGUGGGGAGCAAACAGG
rnacentral:rRNA from 1 species